rnacentral:rRNA from 1 species
GACGAACGCUGGCGGCGUGCCUAAUACAUGCAAGUCGAACGCAUUUUCUUUCACCGUAGCUUGCUACACCGAAAGAAAAUGAGUGGCGAACGGGUGAGUAACACGUGGGUAACCUGCCCAUCAGCGGGGGAUAACACUUGGAAACAGGUGCUAAUACCGCAUAAUUCCAUUUACCGCAUGGUAAAUGGAUGAAAGGCGCUUUUGCGUCACUGAUGGAUGGACCCGCGGUGCAUUAGCUAGUUGGUGGGGUAACGGCCUACCAAGGCUGCGAUGCAUAGCCGACCUGGGAGGGUGAUCGGCCACACUGGGACUGAGACACGGCCCAGACUCCUACGGGAGGCAGCAGUAGGGAAUCUUCGGCAAUGGACGCAAGUCUGACCGAGCAACGCCGCGUGAGUGAAGAAGGGUUUCGGAUCGUAAAACUCUGUUGUUAGAGAAGAACAAGGAUGAGAGUGGAAAGUUCAUCCCUUGACGGUAUCUAACCAGAAAGCCACGGCUAACUACGUG